rnacentral:tRNA from 1 species
CCAAAUGUAGCUCAUUUUGGUUAGAGCAAUCGACUGUUAAUCGAUGUGUAGCGGGUUCGAGUCCCGCCAUUUGAA